UACGUAGGGAGCUAUCGUUGUCCGGAAUCAUUGGGCGUAAAGCGCGCGUAGGCGGCCCGGUAAGUCCGCUGUGAAAGUCAAAGGCUCAACCUUUGAAUGUCAGCGGAUACUGCCGGGCUAGAGUCCGGAAGAGGCGAGUGGAACUCCUGGUGUAGCGGUGGAAUGCGCAGAUAUCAGGAAGAACACCAACGGCGAAGGCAGCUCGCUGGGACGGAACUGACGCUAAGGCGCGAAAGCGUGGGGAGCGAACAGG
rnacentral:rRNA from 1 species